UACGUAGGAGGCGAGCGUUGUCCGGAGUUACUGGGCGUAAAGGGUGCGCAGGCGGCGGUUCGCGUGGCGAGAUGAAAUCUCCUGGCUUACCUGGGAGGGUGGUCGCCAGACGGGAUCGCUUGAGGGUCGGAGAGGGGCGUGGAAUUCCGGUGGAGCGGUGAAAUGCGUAGAGAUCCGGAGGAACACCGACGGCGUAGGCAGCGCCUGGCGACACCCGUGACGCUGAGCACGAACGCUGGGGAGGCGAAAG
rnacentral:rRNA from 1 species